GCCUAAAUAGCUCAGUUGGUUAGAGCACCUGACUGUUAAUCAGGGGGUCCUAGGUUCGAGUCCUAGUUUGGGCGCCA
rnacentral:tRNA from 4 species